rnacentral:rRNA from 1 species
UACGUAGGGUCCAAGCGUUAAUCGGAAUUACUGGGCGUAAAGCGUGCGCAGGCGGUUGUGUAAGCCAGAUGUGAAAUCCCCGGGCUUAACCUGGGAAUGGCAUUUGGGACUGCACGGCUAGAGUACGGCAGAGGGGACUAGAAUUCCUGGUGUAGCAGUGAAAUGCGUAGAUAUCUGGAGGAAUACCGAUGGCGAAGGCAGGUCCCUGGGUCGAUACUGACGCUCAUGCACGAAAGCGUGGGGAGCAAACAGG